rnacentral:rRNA from 1 species
UACGAAGGGGGCUAGCGUUACUCGGAAUUACUGGGCGUAAAGGGCGCGUAGGCGGCUUGGCCAGUCAGGCGUGAAAUUCCUGGGCUUAACCUGGGGACUGCGCUUGAUACUGCUAGGCUUGAGGCCGAGAGAGGGUGGUGGAAUUCCCAGUGUAGAGGUGAAAUUCGUAGAUAUUGGGAAGAACACCGGUGGCGAAGGCG